CUACGGGAGGCAGCAGUGGGGAAUCUUGCACAAUGGGCGCAAGCCUGCUGCAGCCAUGCCGCGUGUGUGAAGAAGGCCUUCGGGUUGUAAAGCCCUUUCAGCGGGGAGGAAGGCGGUGAGGUUAAUAACCUCAUCGAUUGACGUUACCCGCAGAAGUAGCACCGGCUAACUCCGUGCCAGCAGCCGCGGUAAUACGGAGGGUGCAAGCGUUAAUCGGAAUUACUGGGCGUAAAGCGCACGCAGGCGGUCUGUCAAGUCGGAUGUGAAAUCCCCGGGCUCAACCUGGGAACUGCAUUCGAAACUGGCAGGCUAGAGUCUUGUAGAGGGGGGUAGAAUUCCAGGUGUAGCGGUGAAAUGCGUAGAGAUCUGGAGGAAUACCGGUGGCGAAGGCGGCCCCCUGGACAAAGACUGACGCUCAGGUGCGAAAGCGUGGGGAGCAAACAGGAUUAGAUACCCGGGUAGUC
rnacentral:rRNA from 1 species